rnacentral:rRNA from 1 species
AGGUUCGUCCGCCCUGGGUUAGUCGGGACCUAAGCUGAGGCCGAAAGGCGUAGGUGAUGGACAACAGGUUGAUAUUCCUGUACUACCGAUAACCGUUUGAGAGAAGGGAUGACACAGUAGGAUAAGCUAAGCACACUGUUGGUUAUGUGUGCCCAAGCAUUGAGGCAGUCAAAGUAGGCAAAUCCGCUUUGAUAAUGCUGGGAUGUGAUGGGGAGCGAAAUUUAGUAGCGAAGUAGCUGAUUUCACACUGUCAAGAAAAGUCUCUAUCGAGGUUAAAGGUACCCGUACCGCAAACCGACACAGGUGGGUGAGGAGAGUAUCCUAAGGCCAGCGAGAGAACUGUUGUUAAGGAACUCGGCAAAAUGACCCCGUAACUUAGGGAUAAGGGGUGCCACCAUCAGGUGGCCGCAGAGAAUAGGCCCAAGCGACUGUUUACCAAAAACAUAGGUUUCUGCUAAGUCGCAAGACGAUGUAUAGGAGCUGACGCCUGCCCGGUGCUGGAAGGUUAAGGGGAUCUGUUAGAGUAAUCGAAGCAGUGAACUUAAGCCCCAGUAAACGGCGGCCGUAACUAUAACGGUCCUAAGGUAGCGAAAUUCCUUGUCGGGUAAGUUCCGACCCGCACGAAAGGCGUAACGAUUUGGGCACUGUCUCAACAACAGACUCGGUGAAAUUGUAAUUCCGGUGAAGAUGCCGGAUACCUGCGACAGGACGGAAAGACCCCAUGGAGCUUUACUGUAGCUUGACAUUGGGUCUUGGUACUACAUGUACAGGAUAGGUGGGAGGCUUUGAAACCAGGACGCCAGUUUUGGCGGAGCCAUCCUUGGGAUACCACCCUUGUAGUACUGGGACUCUAACCAUAGGCCAUGAAUCUGGUCUUGGGACACUGUCAGGUGGGCAGUUUGACUGGGGCGGUCGCCUCCCAAAAGGUAACGGAGGCGCUCAAAGGUUCUCUCAGUACGGUCGGAAAUCGUACGUAGAGUGUAAAGGCAAAAGAGAGCUUGAUUGCAAGACAUACAGGUCGAGCAAGGAUGAAAAUCGGACUUAGUGAUCCGGUGGUUCUGCGUGGAAGGGCCAUCGCUCAACGGAUAAAAGCUACCCUGGGGAUAACAGGCUUAUCUCCCCCAAGAGUCCACAUCGACGGGGAGGUUUGGCACCUCGAUGUCGGCUCAUCACAUCCUGGGGCUGUAGUAGGUCCCAAGGGUUGGGCUGUUCGCCCAUUAAAGUGGUACGCGAGCUGGGUUCAGAACGUCGUGAGACAGUUCGGUCCCUAUCCGUCGCAGGCGUAGGAAAUUUGAGAAGACCUGUCCUUAGUACGAGAGGACCGGGAUGGACG